AAAGAAAAUGGAGCUCAAUGACUGCCUGAAAGAUUGGUUCAUCAAGUGGACAUGGAUCCUGGCCCUUGUAAUACAAUGGUGAAGACAGUUCAGAAUCCCUAUCAGCCAGCUAAGUUGACCUGGAGUGUUGUCUCUAUGCCACUGGAGAUCAAAUACACUCAGCUCCCUGAGACACCAUCCUUACACCUGGUGGCCCAAUCUUGUUUUUGAUCCCUGUCGGCUUGCAGCAGGCCUAGGCACUUGGGAUAUAUGUAAUCAAUUACCCCAUGGAGGUUUACCUGAGUGUGAUGGAAAAGACUCCUCCUCCCCCAAACCUUACUCACAUAAAGGUUUGAUUGGAAAUUUGGGAUGGGGACAUCCGGUGUGUAGAGACAAUCUACGCACUUGUUCUUUUUAUGUGUGCCCCAGGAUGGCAGGACUAGAUCCCAGGCUCACAACUGUGGAGGUACAAAAGAUUUUUUUCAGUGCUGCUUGGGGACGUGAGACCACAGGAAAUGUUUAUUGGAAGCCGCAAAGAGAUUUAAUUACAGUAGUGAGGAAUUCAACCGGUCCUGGCCUGUUUAUUUCUAGUUGCAAAGGCAAUGAACAUUAUUUUUGUCGUGGCUUUAGUUGUGCCUCAAUUGUGUUGUCUGGGUCCUUGACAGGAGUGGGAUCUUGUGUAAGGUUUUUUGGUUUGGUUUGGUUUGGUUUGGUUUGGUUUGGUUUGGUUUGGUUUUUUGUAACCCUAUUGUAGUGAACGUCACUGAGUCUGACAAAAAGGUUAGAGAAGACUGGCUUAAAGGAAGGACUUGGGGAUUUAGACUAUAAAAAACUGGUUAUGAUGAAGGAUUACUCUUUACCAUUAAGCUUAAAAUUGCACCUAUGUCUUUUUCAGUAGGACCUAAAAAGAUCAUAAAGAAGGCCAAAAAAGAGGAACAACCGAGAUAAAGAGAAGAAUAAUGCUAAUAGGAAUAGGAGUAAUACUGCUUUCUUACUUUCUUCUCCAGUGUCUGGUAUCCCUCAUAGCCCUACAGUUGCCACCACUACCUUUUCUACAUUUGCUACUCACCUAACAGAAUUAAUGGUAGGCAUGUUUCAUAUGCAUAAUGAUACUUAUCCUAAUAUCACUCACUCUUGUUGGCUUUGCUAUGAUAUAGCUCCUCCUUACUAUGAAGGUAUUGCUUUAUUAUCCAGCAAUGUUUCUUAUUCUAAUAGCUCUUGUGGUUUUUGAUGGAAUCAGAAAUCUGGCAUAGGUCUUUCUCUACAUGAAGUUUCUGGACUAGGUACCUGCAUAGUGAAAAAUUCAUAAAGGUAAAAGACAGAGUUUAUGUAAUAAAAUGCUUACUGUUUCCACCUCUUCAUCUUAGUUUAUUCCUCCAAAAGAGGGAUAGUGAGUUUGUUCCAUAGGUCUUACCCCCUGCAUUCAUACACAAGUAUUUGAUAACUCCAAAGAUUUUUGUGUGUUGGUUCAACUUAUUCCUAGACUCAUUUAUCAUCCUUAUGAUGAGCUCUUGGAUCAUUGGGAUGGAGACUUCUCUUGAUACAAGAGAGAACUUGCUAUUGCAUUAACUAUUUCAGUUCUGAUGGGGCUCAGUAUGGGAGGAGCAGCUACAGGCACUUCUGCCUUAGUUUUGCAAGGAAAAAUUAUGAGUUCCUUAGAACGGCAAUUGAUGCAGAUAUAGAAAAGAUAGAAACUCUAUUUCCCAUUUGCUAGGAUCUUAAUCUCCUUGUCUGAGAUAGUCCUUCAAAACAGGAGAGGACUUGAUCUUUUAUUUCGUCAACAUGGAGGACUGUGUGCAGCCCUCCACAAAGAAUGUUGUCUUUGCAUCUAUCAUUCAGGAGUAGUAAAGGAUUCUAUGGCUAAAGUUCAAGAAGGACUGGCCAAAAGGAAAAGAUAAAGAGACCAGAAUCAGGGAUGGUUUGAAUCCUGGUUUUUCACUUCUCCAUGGCUUACAACUUUAAUUUCUACAUUGCUUGGACCAUUAAUUAUAAUUUUGUAGCUUUUGGGCUGUAGAGAUAGUUCAGAGGUUAAGAGCACUGACUGCUCUUCUGGAGGUCCUAAGUUCAAUUCCGAGCAACCACAUGGUGGCUCACAACCAUCUGUAACAAGACCUGAUGCCCUCUUUUGGUGCCUGAAGACAGCAACAGUGUACUUACAUAUAAUAAAUAAAAUAAAUCUUUAAAAA
ensembl:antisense